GAUGAACGCUAGCGAUAGGCUUAACACAUGCAAGUCGAGGGGCAGCGGGGACUUCGGUCUGCCGGCGACCGGCGCACGGGUGCGUAACACGUAUGCAACCUACCCAUAACUUGGGGAUAGCCCGGGGAAACCCGGAUUAAUACCCGAUGAUACAGGGAUACCGCCUGGUAAUAUUUGUUAAAGAUUAAUUGGUUAUGGAUGGGCAUGCGCAGGAUUAGCUAGUUGGUUGAGGUAACGGCUCACCAAGGCGACGAUCCUUAGGGGAACUGAGAGGUUUGUCCCCCACACUGGUACUGAGACACGGACCAGACUCCUACGGGAGGCAGCAGUGAGGAAUAUUGGUCAAUGGUCGAGAGACUGAACCAGCCAAAUCGCGUGAAGGAAGACGGUAUUAUGUAUUGUAAACUUCUUUUGUAAGGGAAUAAAGUGCAGGAUGUAUCCUGUUUUGUAUGUACCUUAGGAAUAAGCAUCGGCUAACUCCGUGCCAGCAGCCGCGGUAAUACGGAGGAUGCGAGCGUUAUCCGGAUUUAUUGGGGUUUAAAGGGUGCGUAGGUGGGCUUGUAAGUCAGCGGUUGAAAUUCAGGAGCUUAACUUCUGGACUGCCGUUGAAACUGUGAGUCUUGAGUGCGAACGAGGUAGGCGGAAUUCGUAGUGUAGCGGUGAAAUGCAUAGAUAUUACGAAGAACACCGAUAGCGCAGGCAGCUUAUCAGGCCGCAACUGACACUGAAGCACGAAAGUGUGGGUAUCAAACAGGAUUAGAUACCCUGGUAGUCCACACAGUAAACGAUGAUAACUAGGUGUUUGCGAUAUACCGUAAGCGCCCGAGCGAAAGCGUUAAGUUAUCCACCUGGGGAGUACGCCGGCAACGGUGAAACUCAAAGGAAUUGACGGGGGCCCGCACAAGCGGAGGAACAUGUGGUUUAAUUCGAUGAUACGCGAGGAACCUUACCCGGGCUCGAACGGCUAAAGAAUAUGUAUGAAAGUAUAUAGCUAGCAAUAGCUUUAGUCGAGGUGCUGCAUGGUUGUCGUCAGCUCGUGCCGUGAGGUAUCGGCUUAAGUGCCAUAACGAGCGCAACCCUUAUCGUUAGUUACCAUCAGGUCAAGCUGGGGACUCUAACGAGACUGCCACCGUAAGGUGUGAGGAAGGUGGGGAUGACGUCAAAUCAGCACGGCCCUUACGUCCGGGGCGACACACGUGUUACAAUGGGUGGUACAGCGGGUGGCUACCUGGCGACAGGAUGCUAAUCCCGAAAACCACUCCCAGUUCGGAUCGGAGUCUGCAACCCGACUCCGUGAAGCUGGAUUCGCUAGUAAUCGCGCAUCAGCCAUGGCGCGGUGAAUACGUUCCCGGGCCUUGUACACACCGCCCGUCAAGCCAUGGAAGCCGGGGGUACCUGAAGUUCGUAACCGUUAAGGAGCGACCUAGGGUAAAACUGGUAACUGGGGCU
rnacentral:rRNA from 1 species